GGGGACGCGUGGUUUCGACAGGGAAGGUAGGCUACUGGAUUGCAGGCUGAGGUGCCAUCCACCUCAUUAAACAGGUGGCAAAAAACAACUGGCGAACGUGAACUCGUUCUUGCUGGCUAAAUAAAACCAGCACAUCCUGCCCGGCCCCACCUCAACGAGCCGGGUUUGGGUGCCGAUUAGUUGAGGUGCCGUUUCCCCAACGCCGAUGAGGGGAACGAAAGAAAUAUCGGCUGGUUUGGCUAAAUUAGGCCGGCAAAAGCUAGCCAGACAAGAUUAAAUAGACGGCUAAUCCUGUAGUAGAUCCUGGGUCACCUUUUCUGGACGGGGAGUUCGACCCUCCCCCGUCUCCACCA
rnacentral:tmRNA from 1 species